GCGCAGCUUACCAUGCAAGUCGAGCGGUAACAGGGGGUGCUUGCACCCCGCUGACGAGCGGCGGACGGGUGAGUAAUGCAUAGGAAUCUGCCCAGUAGUGGGGGAUAGCCCGGGGAAACCCGGAUUAAUACCGCAUACGCCCUUUGGGGGAAAGCAGGGGAUCUUCGGACCUUGCGCUAUUGGAUGAGCCUAUGUCGGAUUAGCUAGUUGGUGGGGUAAAGGCCUACCAAGGCGACGAUCCGUAGCUGGUCUGAGAGGAUGAUCAGCCACAUCGGGACUGAGACACGGCCCGAACUCCUACGGGAGGCAGCAGUGGGGAAUAUUGGACAAUGGGGGCAACCCUGAUCCAGCCAUGCCGCGUGUGUGAAGAAGGCUUUCGGGUUGUAAAGCACUUUCAGUGAGGAGGAAAACCUUCUGGUUAAUACCCAUGAGGCUUGACGUUACUCACAGAAGAAGCACCGGCUAACUCCGUGCCAGCAGCCGCGGUAAUACGGAGGGUGCAAGCGUUAAUCGGAAUUACUGGGCGUAAAGCGCGCGUAGGUGGUUUGAUAAGCGAGAUGUGAAAGCCCCGGGCUUAACCUGGGAACGGCAUUUCGAACUGUCAGGCUAG
rnacentral:rRNA from 1 species